GCCAACUUAGCUCAUUCGGUAGAGCAGCUCAUUCGUAAUGAGCAGGUGUUCGGUUCGAUUCCGAAAGUUGGCU
rnacentral:tRNA from 1 species